CCUACGGGAGGCAGCAGUAGGGAAUAUUGCUCAAUGGGGGAAACCCUGAAGCAGCAACGCCGCGUGGAGGAUGAAGGUUUUCGGAUUUUAAACUCCUUUUGUUAGAGAAGAUAAUGACGGUAUCUAACGAAUAAGCACCGACUAACUCCGUGCCAGCAGCCGCGGUAAUACGGAGGGUGAAAGCGUUACUCGGAAUCACUGGGCGUAAAGAGCGCGUAGGCGGGAUAGCAAGUCAGAGGUGAAAUACUAUGGCUUAACAAUAGAACUGCAUUUGAAACUGUUAUUCUAGAGUAUGGGAGAGGUAGGUGGAAUGCUUGGGGUAGGGGUAAAAUCCGUAGAGAUCAAGAGGAAUACUCAUUGCGAAGGCGACCUGCUAGAACAUAACUGACGCUGAUGCGCGAAAGCGUGGGGAGCAAACAGGAUUAGAUACCCUUGUAGUC
rnacentral:rRNA from 1 species